GAAUGUUUGGGAUAUUCCAAAAGGAUUAGAAUAACUAGAAUGUUUUUAUCAAACAUUAACCUUUCAUAAUCCCAAUUAUGUAUUUGCAAGAUUGUAUAUGCUAUAUCUUGCAGGUUUAUUUACUUUGCAAUGCAGUUCUUCUAGGUUCAUCUCUGCUCUCCAGUAGAAAAACAAUAUUCAUAAUAAUAAUGUACCGAGAAUAUACGGCCUCCAAUCUCCCUUCAUGGUCCAUGUUGUCUCUGACUGUACACGUCAGGGGCUCCAAACUGUGUGGGAAGUCGAAUAGCUGCUGUGAAUCAAUGAAGCCACUCUGUCAGAGAGGGGAUCGUGGUGAACACAGUUGUAAACUGGAGCUUAGCUCAUCCUCCUGGUGUGGUAUUGGGGUAUUGUGGGCACAGGAAGAUAAAGGAAGGGAUUAACUGAUUAGCUGGGGCAGCUGCUGUCCCAGUGCAUUGUGGGUUGUGGCAAAUGCCCUGGUAAUCCUUGGCACCCCCAGACAUCACACUCGACAGAGGAGAAAGGGACAACGCCACCCUUAACUCUGGCGACAGCGAGCAAUUUUAUACUCCCAAUCUCAAGCAGUGUAUGUGUGCUCAAGCUGGCCUCUCUCGCAUGUCCACUGAUACCACUGGUGCCAUGUUUGGUCUCCAGAGUCGCUCUGCCAAAGCAGACAUCUUUCCCCUGUUUUAAACAACACUGCCAGCAGAGCAUGGCACUCUUGGCUGCCAUUUUGAGGGGAACUUUACAGGGUCUAGUAAAUCCCAGAAUAAAACAGGCCACUCAGGCUAGGAUCUGUCUGUAUGUCUCUAACCAUGGAUAUGACUUUAUUUCUGAUAAGGACACUUUCACCUGUCAUUCAAUCCUGUCCAAUCCUGCAACCUUUUGAGGAAUGCAUUCAUCAGGAAACUAUUUUGGUGUAAUCCUCAAAUUCAUUUUGAUUGCAUAUGAUCAUCUGAAGGACAAAUCUACACCUGUGUCAUUCCCACCAGCCAUCCAAUAUACACAGUAAGUUUUGUGUUCGUAACUGGAAACCAUUGGCUUGGCCAUAUAUCCGCCUAGUAUCCAAUCAGAGCCAAUCAGCGACAAGAGGAGAUGCAAACAUAAAGACAUUGCAAACAGAAGAACGUGUAAAUGUACACGUCAGAAGAACGUGUAAAUGUACGCAUCAGAAGAACGUGUAAAUGUACACGUCAGAAGAGCGUGUAAAUGUACGCAUCAAAGGUAGAUGCAUUGUUUUGGUUAAUGCAAUGUGAUUGGUUACACUGGACAAACUGUCUUCAAGGUUAACACAAGGUCUAUGGCCAUUAUGAUGCUAGGGUUGGAAACAGGAACCAGGCAAGGAACACACUGCAAAAUU